rnacentral:rRNA from 1 species
CCUACGGGGAGCAGCAGUCGAGAAUCAUUCACAAUGGGGGAAACCCUGAUGGUGCGACGCCGCGUGGGGGAAUGAAGGUCUUCGGAUUGUAAACCCCUGUCAUGUGGGAGCAAAUUAAAAAGAUAGUACCACAAGAGGAAGAGACGACUAACUCUGUGCCAGCAGCCGCGGUAAUACAGAGGUCUCAAGCGUUGUUCGGAAUCACUGGGCGUAAAGCGUGCGUAGGCUGUUUCGUAAGUCGUGUGUGAAAGGGGCGGGCUCAACCCGCGGACGGCACAUGAUACUGCGAGACUAGAGUAAUGGAGGGGGAACCGGAAUUCUCGGUGUAGCAGUGAAAUGCGUAGAUAUCGAGAGGAACACUCGUGGCGAAGGCGGGUUCCUGGACAUUAACUGACGCUGAGGCACGAAGGCCAGGGGAGCGAAAGGGAUUAGAUACCCCAGUAGUC